rnacentral:rRNA from 1 species
AUUGAACGCUGGCGGCAGGCCUAACACAUGCAAGUCGAGCGGAUGAAGGGAGCUUGCUCCUGGUUCUAGCGGCGGACGGGUGUGUAAUGCCUAUGAAUCUCCUUGGCAGUGGGGGAUAACGUCCUCAAACGGGUGCUACUACUGCAUACGUCCUGCGGGAGCAAGUGGGGGAUCUUCGGACAUCACGCUCUCAGAUGAGUCUAGGUCGGAUUAGCUAGCUGGUGGGGUAAGGGCCUACCAAGGCGACGAUCCGCAACUGGCCUGAGAGGAUGAUCGGUCACACUGGAACUGAGACACGGUCCAGACUCCUACGGGAGGCAGCAGUGGGGAAUGGUGGACAGUGGGCGAAAGCCUGAUCCAACGAUGCCGCGUGUGUGAAGAAGGUCUUCGGAGUGUAAAGCACUUUAAGUGGGGGGGAAGGGCAGUAAGUUAAUACCUUGCUGUAUUGACGGUACCAGCAGAAGAAGCACCGGCUAACUUCGUG